rnacentral:rRNA from 1 species
AAUAGGAGAGUCAAAGGUAACGAGGGGAAGUGAAACAUCUCAGUACCCUCAGGAAGAGAAAACAAACGUGAUUCCGUUAGUAGUGGCGAGCGAAAGCGGAAGAGGCUAAACCAAUCAUGUGCCAAGCCGGCAGGCGUUGCAUGAUCGGUGUCGUGGGACUAAAUGAAAUUAACUGCCGUUAAUUUAACAAGUCAGAAAAUAGUGAAAUAGAUGAAGGACGUGGGAAAGUCCGGCAUAGAAGGUGAGACCCCUGUAGUCGAAAUUUCAUUAUCUUGUUUUUAGUAUCCCAAGUAAUACCGGACUCGUGUAAUCCGGUAUGAAUCUGGCGGGACCACCCGCUAAGCCUAAAUACUCUCUGGUGACCGAUAGUGAACAAGUACCGUGAGGGAAAGGUGAAAAGAACCCCGCAAGGGGAGUGAAAUAGAAUCUGAAACCGUUUGCAUACAAACCGUUGGAGCUGCCUUGUGCAGUGACAGCGUGCCUUUUGAAGAAUGAGUCUACGAGUUAGUGUGAUGUGGCAAGGUUAACCCGUCGAGGGGAAGCCGUAGCGAAAGCGAGUCUGAAUAGGGCGAAUAAGUCGCAUCAUCUAAACCCGAAGCGAGGUGAUCUCGCCAUGACCAGGUUGAAGCGCGGGUAAGACCGCGUGGAGGACCGAACCCACUAAAGUUGAAAAUUUAGGGGAUGAGUUGUGGCUAGGGGUGAAAGACCAAUCAAACUUCGUGAUAGCUGGUUCUCUCCGAAAUGCAUUUAGGUGCAGCGUCACGUGUUUCUUACUGGAGGUAGAGCUACUGGAUGGCCGAGGGGUCCUACAAGAUUACCAACGUCAGCCAAACUCCGAAUGCCAGUAAGUGAGAACGUGGCAGUGAGACAGUGGGGGAUAAGCUUCAUUGUCGAGAGGGAAACAACCCAGAACAGCAACUAAGGUCCCAAAGCCUGUGCUAAGUGGAAAAGGAUGUGAAGUCGCAUAGACAACCAGGAGGUUGGCUUAGAAGCAGCCACCCUUAAAAGAGUGCGUAAUAGCUCACUGGUCAAGUGAUUUCGCGCCGACAAUGUAACGGGGCUCAAGCACAGCACCGAAGUUCUGUCAUUCACACACUAUCCCGGUCGCAAGAUCCAGGAGUGUGGAUGGGUAGGAGAGCGUUGUGUAACUAGUGAAGCGGCGGAGGAAUCCAGCCGUGGAAGUUACACAAGUGAGAAUGUAGACAUGAGUAGCGAAAGACGGGUGAGAAACCCGUCCACCGAAUGACCAAGGGUUCCUGAGCCAGGCUAAUCCGCUCAGGGUAAGUCGGGUCCUAAGGCGAGGCCGACAGGCGUAGUCGAUGGACAACUGGUUGAUAUUCCAGUACCCGCAAUAAACCGUCCAUGACGAAUCAAUAAUGCUAAGUGUUUGAAGUUGGCUAGCAAUAGCUGAUGGAGCGCACGACCCAAGUUGGUAGUAGUCAAGCAAUGGAGAGACGCAGGAAGGUAGUCCAACCCAGGCGAUGGUUGACCUGGGGUAAGAGUGUAGGAGGUUCUGUAGGCAAAUCCGCAGAACAAUCUCUGAGACUUAAUGCCGAGCCGUAAGGCGAAGUGGAUGAUCCUAUGCUGCCAAGAAAAUCUUCUAGCGAGGUUUAUAGCGGCCCGUACCCGAAACCGACUCAGGUGGUCAGGUAGAGAAUACCAAGGUGAUCGAGAGAAUCGUGGUGAAGGAACUCGGCAAAAUACCCCCGUAACUUCGGGAGAAGGGGGGCUAAUUUUUGUGUAGAGGUUUACCUUCGAAGCAUAAGUUAGACGCAGAGAAUAGGCUCAAGCGACUGUUUACCAAAAACACAGGUCCGUGCGAAGUUGCAAAACGAUGUAUACGGACUGACGCCUGCCCGGUGCUGGAAGGUUAAGGGGACUGGUUAGCUCUUCGGAGCGAAGCUGAGAACUUAAGCCCCAGUAAACGGCGGUGGUAACUAUAACCAUCCUAAGGUAGCGAAAUUCCUUGUCGGGUAAGUUCCGACCUGCACGAAU